rnacentral:tRNA from 2 species
GGCGCUUUAGCUCAGCUGGAUUAGAGCAUCUGCCUUCUAAGCAGAGGGUCGACGGUUCGAGCCCGCCAAGCGUCACUA